UAAUUUUUAUUUUUUUGUAGAGGUGGGGUUUUGCUGUGUUGCCCAGGCUGGCCUCAAGUGGUCCUCCUGCCUUAGCCCCCAAGAGUGUUGGGAUUAAAGGCAUGAGCUACCAUGCCCUGCCAAUAACAUUAAACUCAUGAAUAUACAUUGUGAGCCAUCCCUACAACCAAGACAAUGAAAACACUCAUCACCUCCCAGAAUUUUCUGGUGGCCCUUUAUCAUCCCUCCCUCCUGCUCCUUCCACCUCUAUCUCUAGGCAACCACUGAUUCUGCUCUCACUUGGGAUUCAUUUGCAUUUUCUAGAAUUAUAUAUCAAUGAGAUCACAUAGUAUGCUUUUUUUUUUUUUCAGGGGGUCUGGGUUCUUAUUUCGAGAUUCCUUUAUACAGGGGCCUGUAUCAACACUUCAUUCUUUUUCAUUGUUGAGUAGUAUCCCAUCAAAUAGAUAGACUUCAAUUUGUUUAUCUCCUUACCUGUUGACAGAAGUUUGAGUUUCCAUUUCUUGGCCAUUAUAAGGAAAAUCACAGCGGCCAUUCUAUUGCAACUCUUGUGUUUUCAUUUCUCUUGGGUAAAUAUCUAAAAGUGAAACCACUGGAUCACAUGCUUAACUUUUAAAGAAAUGAUCAAACUGUGUUGAAGUGGUUGUACUACUUUAUACUUCCACCAGCAGCGAUGAGAGUUCCAGUUGUUCCACAUCCUCAGCGACAAUCAGUGUGGUCAGUCGUUUUAAUGUAACUGCUCUCGUCAGUGUGCGGUAGGAUCUCAUUGUAGCUUCAAUUUGCAUUUCCCUGAUGAUUAACGACAUUGAGCAUCUUUUCGUGUGCUCAAUAACCAUUCAUACAUCAUUUGUGAGAUGUUUGUUCAAGGCUUUUUUGAAAUAGGGCCAUUUGUCUACUUCUACAUGAGUGAAAUGAGAAAUAUAAAGGGUGUUAUAAACACGACAGUUAUUCAGUGGUCCCUGUCCAGUUUUGCUCCUGACUUCUGUAGCUUGCUGCCGCCAUUGUGGCUAGAAAUCUGUUGGUGGAGGUGGAGGGCAAUUGUGAGGACCUGGGGCAAAUGCGGCAAACAAAGUCAUAUGGCAGAGGUGGAGAGGGUAGAGAAGAGAGAGAGGCAAGGUCAAGUUUAUGGCAUCAUAACCUCUGAAAUGGGGCCCUUGUGAUGGGGGAGGUCACUGAGUUUGGGUUCCUCCAGAAAUCCUUUGGCCCCAGUACCCAAAUGGCUCCAGGUUGAGUAUCCCUCAAGCUGAUGACUUAUAAAUUACCAGGAAAUUUGGCUGCAGAGUGAAAAGACCAUAGUUGAAUCCCAUCUAUGUUAAUGUCCAUGUAAAGUAGGAGCAGCCAGGAGUGUGUGCUUCAUGGUCUUUGCUCUGCUGUUCCUGGGCACUGGAUGAGAUGUCUUUUUCCAAUAAUGAUGAUGAAGAUGGUGAUAUUGAGAAUUCUUUAUCUUCAUUGAGCAUGUAAUAAUUUUAAAAGUCUUUUCUGCCUACCAGACUUCUUCCCUCCCAGCUGAGCAGGCCACUGGCCAGUGUUCCCACUUCACAGUUAAAGUGAGCCAGGUCCUGAGAGGCUGGGAGGAAGAGUCAGGCUCACUUCAUGGCCUUGACUCUCUCCUCAGUCCAGAGACCCACGUUGAGCCAUUCCCAGCGAUGUCUCCUGCAUCUUAUAGUAGCGACCUCCCACAGUUUCCCAGCUCUGAAAUCAAAGUUCAAGACUGUCUGCUUUUGUUCUCUACUGGAGUCCUGUUGGUGACAGUUUGGACCCACCAAUACCCCGUUGAUCCCCCUGAGUCCUGCCUUUUUGUUUACUGCACAAAUAGGCACUGUUCAGAAAACAAACAACAAAAAGGGAAGCAAUUCUGUUUACUAGACUUUUUGCUUGUUUGUUUGAGACAGGGUCUGUCUUUGUCGCCCAGGCUUGAAAGCAGUGGUGUGGUCAUGCCUUAUUGCAGCCUCUUUCUCCCAGGCUGAAGCCAUCCUCCCACCUGAGCCUCGGGAGUAGCUAGGCUGCUACCAUGCCUGGCUAAUUUUUUUCAUGUUUUGUCGAGAUGAGUCUCGUUAGAUUGCCCCGGGUGGCUUGCUGGAUAUUUGAGCCAAGGAAACUUGAGUGGAUCUCAUAACCUCAAGGGACCACAUGUCCUUGAAUGAUGGACAGCCACCAUUUCUGUCCUAUCUACCUUAUGUGGGUUUGACAGGCCUCUCCAGGCCUGGAUCUGAGUCUAAUGCAGGGCUAACGUGACGCAGGCCUCUGGGCCACUGUAAGGCACCACGGAGCGUUUCUCCACCGAGCUCCAGCGGCUGCGGGGCCCGGCGCCGCCCUCGAUUCAUGCUGGCAGCGCCGCCAAGCGGGCAGCUGGGAAAGAGCGGCCACCUCAUUCCAAGGAAGCGGGGAGGCGAAGAGAGUGGGGAGAGCCCCGCUUCGGUCGCGAUCCGGUGGACACCAUCCCGGCGGGGAGGAGCCUUCCCACGAGGACGGAUGGCGACACACACGCCUGUUGGAGCAUCCUGAGGCCCGCCUCUGUGGCUUCUGUUGUGACGCAAGCGUUCCCUCCUCGAGUAGGGUCUGUGGCCGGGGCUGUGUCUGCGGGACUGGGAAGCUCUCCUGUGAGGUCUGUCUCGGGACCUUCCUGUCUGUGCCUGGAGGGCAUCUGCGGGCAGAUGGGGCACCUGCGCCUCCAUCUCCGCUGCCCCUGCCCUGCCCUUCUACCCAGGCCUUGCAGUCACCAGAGAUGGGAUCCAGGCUCAGCUCGGCCACGUCUGAGCUUCUUGCCAUCUGGGAAAUGGGGUGCAGAGAGACAUCCCCGGUUGAAAGCUAAACCUUCUUGCUGCAAGCCAUGCCAGGGAGAGAUCACGCAGCGGGCACCCACGAUUGGUUUAAUCAUCGCUCACUUCCAUUGGAUCAACUAGAAAUCAACUCAGAUGAGAGUGCUGAAUCUCAGAGGAUGGACGUCUCACCCUUUGCCAUACAGAUAAGUAGAAAGGGUGGUAUUGAAAAUUAAUGGCCAGACUCUAAGUCCCGGGCAAUAUACUUGAUGGUCUCCCAACACUCAAAAUGUUUGGGUUGUCUUUUGUUUUUGUUUUUGUUUUUUAUUUUGAGACAGAGUCGUUCUGUUGCCCAGGCUGGAGUGCAGUGGAGUGAGCUCGGCUCACUGCAACCUCCGCAUCCCAGGUUCAAGCUAUUCUCUUGCCUCAGCCUGCUGAGUAGCUGAGAUGACAGGCGCCCGCCACUAUGCCCGGCUAAUAUUUUUCUCUUUUUAGGAGAGAAGGGGUUUCACCAUGUUGGCCAGGCUGGUCUCGAAUUCCUGACCUUGUGAUUCGCCUGCCUCAGCCUCCCAAAGGGCUGGGAUUACAGGCGUGAGCCACCGCGCCCAGCUUCCAAAAGUUUUCAACAGAGCUCAGAGGUCUUAACCACAGGCACAUCGGAGGAGCAUUUUUGAAACACUUUCCAGCUUCCUCAAUAAGAAUGGAAGCCAAACCCCGAAAUGAUGAGUCCUUUGAGGAAGCCGAGAGCUGUACGGAAAGCCAGGAACAGGGGUAAGGGAGAGAUGCAUCCUGAAUGAUCCUGUGCCAAUUGUUUCUGGAAUCCUUGAUGUGAUCUCAGCUGCCCUUUCCAUUCUUGACACAGUGAUUGUGGCACCCACUGGUCUAGCUGUGGUCUACAAGGAACCCCCAAAGGGAAGGGCACAGUGAGCAGGGGCAUCCGCCUGAGUGACGAGGAUUUGAGAGGGCAGGUUGAUUGCAGGGAGAGGACUGGCCAAAUGCCAUGUGUCUGGACUUAGACUGCCUGGAUCAAAUUGGGCUUCACCCUUUUUGACUUCAUGAUCUGGUACAAGUUCUAUGAAAAUUUGUUGCUCCUUUUCUAGUCUGUAAAAUCAUCAUGAAAUGUGCACUAAUAACUGGGAGACUAUGCAGAUGAAAUGAAACAAGCUGCAUAGAACACAGAGCUCAGAGCCUGGCCUUUAGGAAGCCCUCAGUAAGGGUUCAUGAUGCCAUGGUGUCUGUCAACAUCCUCUUUAUCCUCAUCAUCACCUUCAUCGUCUUUUUGUUGUUCUGAGGGAACAGUUUAGAGGGACUCAUUCCCUGCUAUCAUGGGUGAGAUGUCUAUGAAAAUGACAACCAGUGGGGGAGGGAAGCAAAAUUUUGAAGAAGAUUCCUGAGAGAGACCCCCACCACAACCAAGAACAGAAACUCCACAGUCUGCUGAGCUGACAGUUUGCACAUUGGUCUCCUCCCGUCUGCCCACCGCACUGUCCUGUUUGUCCUGAGGAUGAGGAAACAAACAAGGCUCCCAACCGUCCCUCAGCACUCACUGAACUGCCCUUCCCCUCUGCUAGGCCAUGACCACUGAGAACAGGUCCACUGUUCUCCCUGCAUGGUGCACAUUGGAGGCUCAGACUCCGUCCACAAGGCUGGCCAGAAGACAGGGUGAGACAUGAGCCUCCCGAUACAGGUGACGGUUGUGGAGCCCACAGGACUGCAACCUCACACUGCAGGGCUGGAGGCACAGACUGAGUAUUUACUAUUCUAUGGCCUGGGGGGCUCAAGGCACAGAGCCCCUCAUUAGCCAGAGUCACCCAAGUUCCCCAGGCUCUAAGGAUUUCCUCAUCAUCAUGCAAGAAGAAGAAGAGAAAAGCGAGUGUCCAUAGAAGCUUUGGGGCUCUUCCUCUAAUCAGGAGAGAGCUUGUGUGUAUUAUUCGCUUCUUUCUUUUCUUUUACAAGAUCCAAUUGCUUUAAUUUUCAUCUUUUAUUAUGGGAAAAUAUACCACGUAUAAAUGUUAAAAAUUAUAAAUAUAGAUUAUUUCAUAUAGAAUGGCCAGUAUAAACAUUUACAAUUUCCACUGUUUUUCAGUUUAUAGUUUAAUCACAUUAGAUACAUUUGCAUUGUUUAGCAACCAACACCGCCAUCAUCUCCAGAACAGUUUUAUCGUUGAAAAUGGAAAUUGCACCCAUUAAACAAACUCUCCAUUCCUCUCUCUCUCGCCCACCCCUGGGGGCCACCAUUCUAGUUUGCAACUCUAUUAGUUUAACUACUCUAGACACGUGAUAUAAGUGGAAUCAUACCGUGUUUAAUUUUUUUGGUUUGCUUGUUUUGGAGACAGAGUCUUUCUCUGUUGCCCAGGCUGGAGUGCAGUGGCGUGGUCUGGGCUGACUGCAACCUCCACAUCGUGGGUUCAAGCGAUUCUUGUGUCUCAGUCUCCCGAGUAGCUGGGAUUACAGGCGUGCGCCACCACGCCCAGCUAAUUUUUGUAUUUUUAAUAGAGACAAGCUU